rnacentral:guide_RNA from 1 species
AUAACAAAUCAUAACAAUCUAUGACAGAUAAGCGUGGUAGUAUGAGUGACAAUU